GAAGAGAGGGAAAGGGCUAUUGUCAUGCAAGCGAUGACAGCUUGUGUAUCAGCUGUAGGGGAAUACUGUCGCGUAUAUAUGUUUAGACAGCUGGCGUGACAUGGAGAUGAUGAGCAGGCGAGGUUCAUCAACUCUAUAAUUCGGGCGACAGAAGUGGAUUGUAUAGCUCAACUCAAGAUGAGUCGAGAUGCUUUCUUUGAGUUGUGUACUACCCUUCGUGAGAAGACACAUUUGCAUGACACCCGUCAUGUCAGUCUCGAAGAACAGGUGGUUAUAUUUCUUCAUACAGUUGGCCAUAAUGUUCGCAAUAGGGUCAUAGGGCAUAGAUUUAUUCGAUCCGGGAAAACCGUUAGCCAUCACUUUAACCACGUUUCGGAUUCUAUUGUAUCAUUAUACCCAGAGUUUGUUAAACAGCCAAGCUCAGAGACACCAUCCGAGAUUCAGACGAAUAUCAGUUGGGCUUCAUACUUUCAGGUAUCAAUUUCAAUGACAAUCAAUGUAUAUGUACGUUGCUAUACUCAUACUCUGAAUAACAAAUCCGACCCUAAAAUAAAUUUGACAUAAUGUAUGUAGGACUGUGUUGGUGUAAUUGACGAGACACAUAUACCGGCUCUGGUCCAGUCUGCAGAUCAUGCGAGCUUCCGCAAUCAAAAAGGAUUCCUCUCACAAAAUGUACUCGCGGCAUGUUCGUUUAACAUGAAUUUCCUUUACAUAUUAGCCGGUUGGGAGGGUUCAGCCUUGGAUGCGCGGGUGCUACACAAUGCUCUGACCCGAUCAGAUGAUCUAUUACAUGUCCCGCAUGGGAAAUACUAUGCUGUCGACGCUGGAUAUGCGCAUUCACCCGGUUUUAUGGCUCCAUACCGCAGCAUGCGAUAAGACUUACAAGAGUAUCGAACCAGGAGAGCGCCUGCGAAUAUGAAUAAGCUGUUUAAUUACCGACAUGCACAAUUACGUAAUGCAAUCGAGCGUUGUUUUGGUGUACUGAAAAACAAAUUUCCCAUAUUGAAGACGACCAUUCCGUAUAAGUUUCACACACAAUUGAAAAUUAUUGUAGCGUGUUAUGUUCUACACAAUUUCAUAUGAUUCGUACUUCAGUCUCGUGAUGAUGGAUCUUUUCCUGUAGAGGAGAGUAACCCAACACCUCAUGAGGUGUCAGCAAAUGACGAAAGGCAAUGGUUGCUACGCGUCACUCAACAAGAAAAUGAUGCUUGGAAUCAUGUGCGGGAUGAUAUUGCUGCUCGAAUGUAGGCAGAUGCGCAACAGAACAGUGACAUGGCAGACCCAAGGUCUAAUGAUAGUUCAACACCGACACAAUCACCGCUUAGGACACCUGUGAUGCCGAUGCGAAGUUCACCAUGUGGGAAGACAAUCAAAUCCCUCGCUGAGCCUCUGUCUCGAGCGGCUAAAAUUAAAUGGAGUGCUAAAAUGGAUCAAGUGCUUUUCAACGUCCUGCUAGAACAGGUUGCUUUGGGACAUAAGGCAGAUAAUGGUUUCAAGAGGGAAGCCUACCAAGUAACAACAGAAGAGGUCAUGAAGCAUACGGACCUACCUGUCAACUGGCAGAAUGUGCAGAACCGUCUGAGGUAUUACAAGCACGAAUAUAUUGCAAUCAGGGACAUGCUAGCAGUUAGUAGGUUCGGAUGGGAUAAUGAGCGCAUGGUCGUUACGGCCCCUGAUGAGGUUUGGGAGGAUUACCUGAAGUCUCACCCGCGUGCUACACAUCUAUGCGGGAAAAGGAUUGAGAGAAUGGAUAACCUUGCGGUCAUCGUCGGCUCCGAUCAAGCAACUGGACGAUAUGCGCAAGGAAGUACGACUAUGGCCGCGUCAUCCUCUAGGAUUCAGCGAGAUCUCAAUGAGUCCUAGAGAGACGCUGAAGAUGAUCUGGAGGAUACUAUUGACCUCUCUGAGGGCCACGUAGCGGACUCGCCAGGCGUAAAUUUUUCCUCAGAUACUCCAUCGAUGGGAAGACAUGGAACCCGUGGCACUUCUAGUCAGACUCCAGAGUCUGACUAUAACCGAGAUGGGGGUGCAUCAAAGAAACGUAUGCGGCCUCCUCGUCCCUGCGAUGUACUCGGCAUCUCCCUUAAUACUGUUGCAGAGGCAAUGCGCGAUCUUGGCCUCGGCAAGGAGGUAAAUUGUACUACAAAGGUACUUGAUGUUCUUGAGGAGGUGCAAGGGUUGACCAACUCAGAAUUUAUCAAAAUUGGGCAACUGUUGAGCCGGGACGAGAGGCUGGCAUCGUUUUUUGUCAGUCUUCGACCCGAGAGGCGCGUUGAGUGGCUGCGAAGAACACUCCGCGAGAAUGAUCUCAAUGCAGGAGUUGGGUCGGUCUGACAUGCUCUUACCCGUCAUUGUGUUGAUCUAUUGUUUUAUGGGACUGUAAUAACUUUUUAUACGCUGGGGACUGUUUGUUUGAUGUUUGUUUUUUUUUUUUUUGAUGUUUGGAUGACCAAAUUGGUAUAUCGUGUAUACCAAUUUGAUAGGUGUGCUAAUACUCUGAUUUUAUAUAUUAUAUAUAUAUUCUGCCACAUGCUUGUUGCUCAGCAAAUUAAGACAAAUAGAGCCACACACAUCGUAUGGACGAAGGAUGGCAAAUGAGAAAUACUAUGUUGUUCUCGUGGGCCGUCGACCGGGCAUUUAUCUGACGUGGGAUGAUGCUAGGUUGGAGGUUGAAGGAUUCAGCGGAGGGAGACAUCGAACAUUCAAGAAUUGGAGGGAAGCGGUUUCCUGCUGGGAGAGUUACUUUGGUGGGAUUGGUGCACAAUUGCGGACUGCGACAGAAACUCAUGCGGUUUAUGUCGCCGCAUAGUUAGACGAGGUUGACAUCCAUCGUUCGUCGACUUCGUCUAUCCAUCAGUCGACCCAUGGCAGGGUUUCCAGGUCCACGACGACGGAUGAUCUUGGCCCAUCCUAUGGAGAGAGUUUUCCGUGGACUUCUGAUUGGCAUUCUCGUUAUUUUCUUUGCCUUACUUAUCAUUAUUAAAUUCUAGCUGUAGAGGUUUUGUAACAUAAUGAAUAUUAUUUUUUGGAUCUCUUUUUUUUUUUUUUUUUUUGA